UACGUAGGGGGCAAGCGUUGUCCGGAAUCAUUGGGCGUAAAGAGCGUGUAGGCGGGCUUUUAAGUCAGUGGUGAAAUCUCCGGGCUCAACCUGGAAACUGCCAUUGAUACUAUUAGUCUUGAAUUUUGUUGAGGUAGGCGGAAUAAGUCAUGUAGCGGUGAAAUGCAUAGAUAUGACUUAGAACACCAAUUGCGAAGGCAGCUUGCUAAACAAAUAUUGACGCUGAGGCACGAAAGCGUGGGGAUCAAACAGG
rnacentral:rRNA from 1 species